rnacentral:rRNA from 1 species
UGGGGAAUAUUGCGCAAUGGGGGAAACCCUGACGCAGCAACGCCGCGUGGAGGAUGAAGGCCUUCGGGUCGUAAACUCCUGUCAGGUGGGAAGAAUAGGUUGCAGCAAACAACUGCAACUGUUGACGGUACCACCAGAGGAAGCCCCGGCUAACUCCGUGCCAGCAGCCGCGGUAAUACGGAGGGGGCAAGCGUUAUUCGGAAUCAUUGGGCGUAAAGGGCGCGUAGGCGGCUUGGCAAGUCAAAGGUGAAAUCCCUCGGCCCAACCGAGGAACUGCCUUUGAAACUGCUUGGCUUGAGGCCGGGAGAGGGUAGCGGAAUUCCCAGUGUAGCGGUGAAAUGCGUAGAUAUUGGGAGGAACACCAGUGGCGAAGGCGGCUACCUGGACCGGUUCUGACGCUGAUGCGCGAAAGCGUGGGGAGCAAACAGGAUUAGAUACCCUGGUAGUCCACGCCGUAAACGAUGGGUACUCGGUGUCGCGGGUAUCGACCCCUGCGGUGCCUUAGCUAACGCGUUAAGUACCCCGCCUGGGGAGUACGGUCGCAAGGCUGA